rnacentral:rRNA from 1 species
GUAGGGAAUAUUGCGCAAUGGGGGAAACCCUGACGCAGCGACGCCGCGUGAGUGAUGAAGGCCUUCGGGUCGUAAAGCUCUGUUGCAGGGGAAUAAAAAAAUGAAGGUACCCUGUGAGGAAGGAUCGACUAACUUCGUGCCAGCAGCCGCGGUAAGACGAGGGAUCCUAGCGUUGCUCGGAAUCAUUGGGCGUAAAGAGGGCGUAGGUGGCUUGGUAAGUCAGGUGUGAAAGCCCAGGGCUCAACCCUGGAAGUGCAUUUGAUACUGCUGAGCUUGAGUGUCGGAGAGGUUACCGGAAUACCUGGUGUAGUGGUGAAAUACGUAGAUAUCAGGUGGAACACCGGAGGCGAAGGCGGGUAACUGGACGAACACUGACACUGAGGCCCGAAAGCGUGGGGAUCAAACAGGAUUAGAAACCCUGGUAGUCC